AUUUUCGGGUUUUCGGGUUCGGGUUUCGGAUUUGAACCGCCAGUUCGGGUUCGGGUUCGGGUCCCUGCAAACGGGUACGGGUUCUUCGGGUUCGGGUUGGCCUCGGGUUUCGGAUCAUUGGUACCGGGUUCGGGUUCGGGUUUCGGAUUUGCAAGAACCCGACCCGUGAGAAACACUAAUUAAACAUUUGAUUUCCUGGAAAGUUAUGACUUCACUAAUGUCCCAUCCCAAGUAAAAAUGAACUUGACAACUGGCUUUUCAUAAUAGCAUCACGACUUCUCACCGUCCAGUUCUCCCUUGAACUUUGUCCAGCAAGAAGGCGAGUGAUUUUACCAAGUGACUCCUCUAACAUUGUAUAUCUGCAAAUAGCCCCGAUCUGUCAAAAAUCAUCCCAAAAUGGAUUUGGAACCCCGAGGUUUGGAAGGCCAUAUUUCCCAACCCCCACACCUCGCCGUUGUUCUACCAGAGAUCCUCAGCGUAAUCCUGUCCUACGUCCCCACCACCGACCUUCUCGACAGCGUCACCUUCGUUUCCCGCGGGUGGGAAGAAGCCGCUCGAGAACACCUUGUAUCCCGC